rnacentral:rRNA from 1 species
UACAGAGGGUGCGAGCGUUGUCCGGAAUCACUGGGCGUAAAGGGCGCGUAGGCAGCCUGGCAAGUCAAUGGUGAAAGCUCAGGGCUCAACUCUGAGUCGGCCACUGAUACUGCUGGGCUGGAGUCUGGUAGAGGCAGAUGGAAUUCCGGGUGUAGCGGUGGAAUGCGUAGAGAUCCGGAAGAACACCGGUGGCGAAGGCGGUCUGCUGGGCCAGUACUGACGCUGAGGCGCGACAGCGUGGGGAGCAAACAGG